ACAUAUGCACAAUUUUGAUUGCCAGUUGAUAUAUAUAAAUAAGAAUAUACCCUUAGGCUAAGAAAACCUGUUUACAGAGUUAAUUUCUAAUUUUAAAUUUGAUUGUCAAUUGAUACAACUUUAAUUUUGUAUCUUUACCUUCAAUCCUUUAAUACAAUGAUGAUCGCCCUACUAACCGCGACCGUUAAGUUUCAAUGCUCCUUUGUGAUUCACACCUGUAUAAUUUUGUUUUGACUCAACACUCCUACCAUCAAAGUUAAGGAUACUUUGUGUUGUACAUUUAUUUCUGAAAGUAAACAUCUUAAGGUUAAAAUGGUUACAAAAUUAUUGCUGUUAGUUGGAUUAAUUUCCAUGGUUACCUCUGAGGAAUAUACAUGGAUGUCUAAUGCCCUAUUUGGAUCGUCACUUGAGCUUUCCUGUAAUGACUCCCGCGUAAUGAUCCAAGCAGACGACAAAAUUUCAUGGAAAACCCCGGAUGGAAAGGUUGUGACCGAUGCAUAUAAUGAUUCUGACUAUAAGGUCAAAGGAGUUCAGGGAGAAAUACUUCUCAUAGACAAUAUCAUGUUCGCCAACAUGGGGAUAUAUACAUGUAUAUUGUCCAAGUCUUCCGAUGGAAUGGCACGUGCCUAUCUGUUACGUGGAGUUAAUCUAGAUGGUCCACAAUUCGCUAACUUAAAUGAAAAAUAUGAAGAAAACAUCACAGUUGCCGUCAUUGCUUCGUUAGUGUUUGCUGUGCCAUUGGUAGGACUAUUGGCUCUCGAGAAAUUCCGAUAUGAAAAACGGAACGAAGACAAACCAGGACAAGCCUACAUCGUGCAUCCCGAGAGGAAAACUCCACCGCAAGUGGUUGUUACUGCCUACGAUAAUCCGGCGUGUGAUAACCAAGUAGAUGAUUUUUCAACACAGCUGUAAAGUUACACUUCUCAAAAACUAGCUUAAAAUUAUUAAUAUGUUUGUUUUACAUAUGCAUACACAAUUUGUUAUUCUCAUACCUAUACAUGUAUUAUCAUAAUGUAUAUUUUUGUAUUCCUUCACGACUACAUGUAUUUAAUUGAGGGAUAUGCAAAAUGCAUGUGCGUGAGAGAGGGACUAUUCAUGUCGAUUGUAAGAAUAUAAUCCAUUUCAAUUGUAUCCAUGUUUUUAGUAUAUUUCUCAAUAAAUAAUAGUUUUAA